UUCGAAAACAUUGAUAUCAUUAGACCGACGUCGAAGGCUCCUUUGGAACAAGCGAUUAUCUCUCUGGAAAGUGGAAGCGAAUCGAUGGCGAAGCGUGAUGUGAGGGGUGGAAGAAGGGACGAGUCGGCGUCGCUCUUGACUCGGGCGGUGAACAAAGUAUUUGCAUUCGUCCGUUUCGCCGAGUUCGAGAUCCUUUUCGUCCUCUUCUUCGUCAUCGCCUAUAUAAUAUUCAAGGAUCUGACUUCAAGGCCAGAGUAUAAUCAGAUCCUUGUAAAGAAACCUGAUUGGUGGCCGAACUAGAAUCCAGAGGUGGCUCGGUUGACCAAUCUCCUUCUCUAGCAGUAUGGAUUCUGCAAAUCAUGUAUGAUUUGUUACGUGUAAAUUUCUAGAUGCCAAGGAAAAGAUCAGAGUUUCUAUAUACUCCCAUCCGUCUUAAUUAGAGUAUUCUCUUGAUUGUGUGAUAUGUAAAACAUUGGUAAAGAAGCAAUUACUUGUGUUAGUUGUGUGGAAUCUAAGGGUGUGUUUGGUUCAUGGGUUUAGUUAUUAGGAAUGGGAAUCAAAGUCAUUGUUAUUGAUUGGUUGACAGGUUUUUUAAAUACUACUAUGAAAUUUGAUUAUCCCCUUAAUUAGAAAAUCCAUUCCCUAAUAAAAUAAAGGUUUUAUUAUAUUA